GUUUUUCAUAAAAUAACAUAACAUGGGAAUUAUAUCAUAAAUAUAUAUAUUUUCCGAAAGUAAAUACACAUGACAUUUCUCACUCAGCGAGAUAAUAACAGCACUAAUACACACAAGCUCUCUCUCUCUCUCUCUCUUUCUUUCUCUGUGUGUCUCUGUCUCUCUCGCUCUCUUUCUAAUAACUUCAUUAAUAACUGCAUUAGAUUGCUAUCAACGGCUCAAGCCUCCAUUACCAGCCUUAAAAUUAUGUUUUGGAACCAGCAAAAGAGGCGUUUGAUGAGAUGCGGAAGAAAUAAUCCUACUCACAAUAGCGAUUUAAGUACAAAAACCGAUGAAUCCCUUUAAAUAUAUUAUCUGAUCGAUGUCUUGAAGUGUGGUAACCAUAGUAUAAGCGGAAUACUUCGCGUCCUGGCCGCAUCACCACCUCGGUUGUGCAUUAUUUUUCUAAUAAUUCAACUGAUAGUUCCGGUCCUUGAUUCUGAUUGGUUGAGCCGCGUUGUAAAUUACUCUACAAACAUACACCUUUGUUUAUUUCUGUGUGUUGCUCGGCAACCACUUUGUUGGAACCACAUUGUUUGGUGAAAGAAUACUGCUUUUAUUUAUAUCAUUACACUUUAUUUAACUCUGUUUUAUUCUGUGAAACCUUACUACUUAUAUGGAGUAACCGUUUUAUAAAAGCAAUAAGCCCCCGUGAAGCAGUGGUUUACAGUGAAUUUAUAAAUCUGUAAACCACGGCUUCUUGGGGGUUAUAGUUAUAUAUCACACAACUACAAAAAAUAUGUAACUUGCAACAUGCAGGAAAUAAUGACAUAAUAAGUGACGAAAAAAGGAGGAGGAGGAACUAAAACCAGACAAGGGUAAUGUUUUCACAUCUGCUCAGUAAGGAAAUACUUGAGGCUGCAACAUGAUGAUGAAUCUCCUUGCAGCCAUAUGGACCCUGACGCCUUUGAUUCUGUUGGGCACUCUUGCUGCUGACUGGACAGUGCGUGUUCCUAUGGAUCCAGUCUAUGCUACUUCUGGUUCUUCUGUAGUUUUGGAGUGCACCUAUGACUACCCAGAAGAGUCUGACCAGGGAAUACUACGCAAAGUGCUGUCAGAGAUGUGGUGUCUGAAUGAAAGCCGCUGCAUUACUCCCAGAUACGUGUACCACAGUGCAGGGAUAUUCCCUGAGCCCUCAUACCAGGGCCGAGUCAAGUACUUGGGGCAGACAGGAAGCAAAAACUGCUCUCUGAUGAUAUCUGAUCUGAGGUCAGAAGACAGCGGCGUGUACGUGUUCCGGUUCAUCACCGACCACCUGAAAGCCAAGCUACCAGGACAGAGAGGAGUGAAUCUACAGGUCACACAUCAGAUAAAAUCAAUAAGUGCAUCUUCAUUCACUACUGGCAUUGUGCUUGGAGUUAUUAUAAUGGUUAUCAUAAUAGCAGGCAUUGUGGUACUCAUCAGACGCAAGUCACGGGGAGAGAGGUCAAUAUCACUUUAAACCAGCUAUUACCACGGAGGAUGAAAAAAAUUACUUUUGACUGUAAACAAAACAGAGAUGUAAACCAAUAGUUCUGCUUUUUUUGUUUUGUUUUUGUGUGUCACUUUUACAUUCAUUUUAUAGAUUUUUGCAUCCAUUACAGUCUGUAUUAUUUAUCUAUUCAUAUUAUUUUCUGCACAUCAAACGGUAUGUUUCAUUCUCAUAUUUCACUUUUUGCAGUCUUAUUUAUCUUUUUGUAGUCUAUUGCAGAUCAUAUUGUAUUUUACUUUUUGCAUGUCACUGCCGCUGUGUUGCAUGUCAGGGUGACAACACUGCCUUCAACCACUGAACUAGUGUCUGAACAACUCUUUUUUUUCACAGUCUGUAAAAAGAGAAAAUAAUGGUUAUGUAGUAAGCAAUUUUUAUUAAGCCAGCAAAAAAAGAAAACAGGAAAGAAAACCACCUCUCAUUCUACCCUCUUCAGCACAUCAUUUUAAUCAAAAAAGCAUGUGGUAUUGUUUCUAAAACCUCAUUUACCCUAAAAAAUUACUAUCAAUCUGUUGCUAUUUUCUCACCCUUGAAUCUAUGAAGAACCUAGAUACAGUUCCAGGUUGGGAAUAUAUAUAUAUUUAAUUUCAGUAAUUGCAAUAAAUUGUGUAUUAAUGCUAGAAAAUAUAUGAAA
ensembl:lncRNA